UACGGAGGGGGCUAGCGUUGUUCGGAAUUACUGGGCGUAAAGCGCACGUAGGCGGCUUUGUAAAUUAGAGGUGAAAGCCCAGGGCUUAACCCUGGAAUUGCCUUUAAGACUGCAUCGCUAGAAUCGUGGAGAGGUGAGUGGAAUUCCGAGUGUAGAGGUGAAAUUCGUAGAUAUUCGGAAGAACACCAGUGGCGAAGGCGACUCACUGGACACGUAUUGACGCUGAGGUGCGAAAGCGUGGGGAGCAAACAGG
rnacentral:rRNA from 1 species